GAUGAAGAACGCAACGAAAUGCGAUAAGUAAUGUGAAUUGCAGAAUUCAGUGAAUCAUCGAAUCUUUGAACGCACAUUGCGCCCGCCAGUAUUCUGGCGGGCAUGCCUGUUCGAGCGUCAUUACAACCCUCAGGCCCCCGGGCCUGGCGUUGGGGAUCGGCAGAAGCCCCCUGUGGGCACACGCCGUCCCUCAAAUACAGUGGCGGUCCCGCCGCAGCUUCCAUUGCGUAGUAGCUAACACCUCGCAACUGGAGAGCGGCGCGGCCAUGCCGUAAAACACCCAACUUCUGAAUGUUGACCUCGAAUCAGGUAGGAAUACCCGCUGAACUUAAGCAUAUCAAUAAGCGGAGGA
rnacentral:misc_RNA from 1 species